rnacentral:lncRNA from 1 species
GUUUUAAAUACUCCAGAACAGUUAAAUCUAAUGAGAGAAGGAGAAGAAGAAGAAAUAAAUGAGAGGAAAGAGCGCAAUUACUCUCACAGGGGUUGGGCAAAUCCCACUAUACAAUCUCCAGUAGUCUCAAAGAUCAAGUCCAUUCAAAUAAAUUAGUCCCCUGCUAUACACCUCCUUUCUUUUGGAUCCUCAAACUGUGUAAUAUGGAUUCCAAGAUCAAUA